GAUAGAUGAGAUUAAGGUUUCAUUUAACAGUAUAUUACUCUAAGCGAAAGCAAUUCCUUCACGAAAGUGUAAAUAUAUUAACAAUG
rnacentral:sRNA from 12 species